UGGCUCUUUUUCUUUUAACUAAUAAAUCCACUGUGCCAUUGAGUACAACUGACACUUCUCACCUGAAGGAGAUCCCACACCCCAACCAGAAGACCUGCCUCUGGAGAAGUCCUCUCUCAAGGUUUCUGCUGGUUUUCCAGGCUGGGUAAGGCUAUUCCCUGAGUUUAGUCCCAACAUCUGCAGAAGGGUCAAAAGUCACCUGGGAGGAAUUUAAAAGAUAGUUUUCAAGAACUAACCAUUUAAGGAUUUUUUUAAAAAGACAUUAGAUUGAUCCACUAAAGUCAAGAAGUAGAUGAAGUCUGUCUGUUCUAUACAUUAUUAUAUAUCUAUCUACAGUUUACCUCUUGUACUUCCAUCCAUGAACACUUAGCAGCUGAAAGUUCAUCCAGUCAAACCUGAAACACGCCAGGCUGCUCUAGGAUCUGCCCUCCAUCCAUCCUGCACCAUACCCUGUGCACAGCCUCAGAGAGCUCAGUGACAGCAGGACAGUGGCUGUCAUGGCUCAGAUCAAUACAGUGCAGUGCAGUAAUUAAUACUAAUAAUACUAUAAUAAUAAAUGUUUCCUGCAUUCUGCUUUGAUAAUGAGCUACAGCUGCAAUUAGAAAUCCAGUCAGUGACUACACUGUCAUGUCAAGGGUUCAAGCAGAUUCUUAAAACUGCUCUCCUUUGACUGAGCACACGUUAAGAGCUUACAUUUAUAAAACCACAGUGUUUUAAAGCAAGACACAGUCAGGCUUCUCACAGCACGUUCAUUCCCAUCAGAGGGAUGCAGCCAACACGAGCUCCUCACCUCCUUUUGCAGCUCCACACACACAUGCAGGGGGUGUGAAUGCUGAGGGGGGGCAGAAUCCAGGUGUGAUCCAUGAACUCACCCCUGACAGAUCACUGGAAUUCAGCCACCCUAUGCCAACCCACACCCUGGGAUUGGUUACCUGCUCCAUUGGCACCACCGAGCACCACAAACAAUUGCUGAAUUAAGACUCACAUUCCACAGCAGUGACUGUUUCCUCUGGGAAUUGCUGCAAAACUGGAAGAGCUGUUGUGACAGGACAGCCAUUUCUAUUCACAAAGAUAAAUCCUUUAUUUAGUAAGAAUUAUCUACACACAGAUGAAGGACAGGAGUGGGGUAAGGAGUCUUCCAGCAGAAGGGUUACACAAUCUCAUCUCAGCUGAGCUUUGUUUUUCUGGAACAUGUCACCUUCCUGUACAAUGUAAGUUUUACAUUUCCAUUCUGAAAAGAAACUUAAACAAAAUCUCAGUGUUGAGAGAUGUAGGUAGGUAACCCUACCUCCAUGGAACAGAAGAGCUGAGAUAACCUGAGGGAACAUCUGCAAGGAGUAAGCUUUGAACAUCCACUUGGAAAAAGCACAACUUCCCUGCCAAUAACUCGUUAAGUUUCCUAACUUGGAGGUUAAAAUAGCCCAAAAUUUGUGUUGUGACUUGAUAUCCUGAGCCUAAAAAGUUUUUACAUGGAAAUUAGGAUUGAUUUCUCUAAGUUCACAGUUAAAAGAUCACUACACACUGCAAGCAGCAGCCCCUUUUUAAAGUCCAUUUUCUACAAACACAUUUUCUCUAAAAACAGAAAGUGAAGAGGAAAAAAAUGUCUUUUUCUACUCUAAAAUUGCAGGCAAAGAUUUUAUAAUGGGAGUAGAUAACUUGAACAACAACCAGCUACGAGUCCAGAAUAUGAAAAGCUGCUGUUUAGAAAAGGGAUGUUUCAGUUUGCAGCAGAGCAGAAUUACCAAGAUCCACUGAGGCUGGGAGAGAGCCCCCAGAUCAAUCUGUCUCUGUGAGAAUUGUAAGGCUUUUCUGAGAGGUGCCAGGCAGACUGUCCUAAAGGUCACUGAGUCUCUCCAAAGCCACCACUCUCCCAUUCAGUGCUUUAAGCAUCUGCUUCAGUGGUGACACUUUGGAGUCACAGUACAGGAAUAAAAACCUCAACAUUUAAAUGAAAAAAAUAAAAAAGAGCACAAGUUUGACUUUGCAGCAGACAGGAGACUCACCCAGUAUUGCUGCAGCAUCUCCACAGCAAUUCACCCCAAUACAGUCACCACCAAGCCAGGAAAGUUUACCCAGCAAUUCCAAGACAUGAGAAAGUUUUCAGUCAUCUCCAGAAACUCAGUGCACUUCUUUAAAUACAUAUUCUACUGUAUGAGCAGCCUCUUGGUUUAGGACCUGCCUUUGUUCACAGUUCCCUCCUGCCAUUCCAUUUGAAGUUGGACAGAGCUGCAGCACAUCCACAGGAACCAAAAGGAUGGCAGAGACAGGUAAUGGCCUUAGAUCUGCAAACCCUACAGAUUUAAACAAUUAUUGAUCAUUCCUAGCAUUUACCACCUGAAAACCAUCCUCAUUCCAAACCUGUAAUGCCCAAGACUCUCAGUCCUUGCUAAGUCCAAUCCAAGUGAUAAAUCCAUCGGCUUUCAUCCGAAAUUGUCCCUCACAAACACAAUCAGACUUGGCAUUAAAGUGGGUUUUGAUUCCAGACAUUUCACAGACAAUUCCCAAUUCUGGGCACCCUUCUAGGAUGUCCAAGCCCUGGAACAUGGAAACCUUUUCAGUGAGAAAAGCCCUUCCCCUCCACAUUUCAGACCAGAGUAAUUUCUCAUCUUUGUGUCAAAAGGAAAACAAACUGAGGAUUGCAAUAUUACUAUUUACAGCUUUUGCCUGUUACCUGCUACAUGAACAGCAGACAGAUUAAUUCCAAAAUCAGCUCUUGCAGAGCAGGGGAAGAGCCAUAGUUUGGGGUUUGUCACAAUGCAGGAAAGGGAGAUUCCUUAUAAAUAAGAUUUUCAAUAAACCUUUGCUAUUUCUGGCAGCUGGGAGAUAACUGCACCAUUACAGUCCCCUCACUGAUGUCAGCAGCUCAACCAGGAGACAAUUAGGUAAAAUAAAGGCAAAGUUGUAAGCUGGAGUUCUGCACUGCCACUACAUUAACUGGACUUCACUUUGCUUCUGCACUGCAAGGAUGAAAAUUAAAGUGCUUUUAGAAUAAUUUUUAACUGGAGAUUGAUGCCAGGUUGGUUUUUCAUCAAUCAUUUUAAGAGAGAGAAACCAAGUAACUAGAAAAGGUUUCACUCCUUUUAAGUUAUGUUCCUAUUUUUAGUUGUAGGGGAGGGGUAUAACAAAAAAAUAAACUCUAUUUGCAAUUAAAUUUCCACAAGCACCAAAUUCAGCCCUUCCCUAGUGCCCACACUGAGAAAUCUUGCAUCUGAUUUACAAAUGUAAUUAUAUCAAUGUAAUUAUACCAGUGUAAUUCCUUAGAAAUAACAAAGUUAUUUUUCAGCAUCCAAGAGAAAGAUUUUAAUUCUUAAAUUCAACAUGAAGAAUUACACCAGGAUAGCUCGUGCUAAAGAGAUGGUGAACUUCCCUGGAGAGACAGGGCCUAAAAAUACAACCCUGUUGUGGUGGGAUGACCCUGGCUGGAUGCUGGUGCCCACCCAGCUGGGCAGGGGAGAGAACACAAGAAAGGCAGGGACAGGGAGAGACCACUCAGCAAUUACCGUCACGGGUAAAACAGACUCCACUUGGGGAAAUUAACUUCAUUUACUGCAAAUUAGAAGUGUGAGUUGGGUAAUGAGAAAAUGAAACAAAAUCUUAAAACACCUUCCUCCCAUCCCUGCCUUAUUCCCAGGCUCGACUUCACUUCAGAAUUCCCCCUCCUGCCAAGCAGUGCAGGGGGAUGGAGGCUGUGGUCAGUUCAUCACGUUGUCCCUGCUGCUCCUUCCUCCUCAUUCUCUUCCCUUGCCUCAAUGGGUUUUUUCCAUGUGUCCUCCUGCCACAGGGUGCAGUCCUUCAGGAAAGGCUGCUCCAGGGUGGGUCCCCCACGGGGUCACAGCAAACCUCCUGCACCACAGGCUCCUCUCCCCGUGGGUUCUGCCAGGAGCCUGAUCCAGUGUGGGCUUCCCCCAGAGGCUCCUCUGGGAACAUCCCCCUGGCUCCAUCCAGGGCUCCUUCCCAGGCUGCAGGUGGAUCCCUGCUCCAUCCAGGGCUCCUUCCCAGGCUGCAGGUGGAUCCCUGCUUCAUGCAGGGCUCCUUCCCAGGCUGCAAGUGCAUCUCUGCUCCAUCCAGGGCUCAUUCCCAGGCUGCAGGUGCAUCUCUGCUCCAUCCAGGGCUCCUUCCCAGGCUGCAGGUGCAUCUCUGCUCCAUCCAGGGCUCCUUCCCAAGCUGCAGGUGCAUCUCUGCUCCAUCGUGGACCCCCAUGGGCUGCAGGGAGCUCCUCCUGUCCCUCCUUCUUCCCUGCCCUUGUGUCUGCAGGGCUGCUCCUCUCCCAUUUCCCACUCCUCUCUCUGGCUGCAGUUGCUCUUACACUUACAAGGCUUUUCCUCCCUUCCCAAAUCUGUGAUCCCAGCAGUGCAUUGCCCUGCUGGUUAUGUGCUCAGCCUUGGCUCUGCUGGAUACAGGGGAAGCUUCUGGCACCUUCUCCCAGCUGUGACCCCUGCAGCCCCCCCCAAACCUGACA